rnacentral:rRNA from 1 species
UACGAAGGGAGCUAGCGUUGUUCGGAAUUACUGGGCGUAAAGCGCAUGCAGGCGGAUCGUUAAGUCGAGGGUGAAAUCCCAGGGCUCAACCCUGGAACUGCCUUCGAUACUGGCGAUCUUGAGUCCGGGAGAGAUGAGUGGAACUCCGAGUGUAGAGGUGAAAUUCGUAGAUAUUCGGAAGAACACCAGUGGCGAAGGCGGCUCACUGGCCCGGUACUGACGCUGAGAUGCGAAAGCGUGGGGAGCAAACAGG